rnacentral:rRNA from 1 species
AUUGAACGCUGGCGGCAGGCCUAACACAUGCAAGUCGGACGGUAGCACAGAGGAGCUUGCUCCUCGGGUGACGAGUGGCGGACGGGUGAGUAAUGUCUGGGGAUCUGCCCGAUAGAGGGGGAUAACCACUGGAAACGGUGGCUAAUACCGCAUAACGUCGCAAGACCAAAGAGGGGGACCUUCGGGCCUCUCACUAUCGGAUGAACCCAGAUGGGAUUAACUAGUAGGCGGGGUAAUGGCCCACCUAGGCGACGAUCCCUAGCUGGUCUGAGAGGAUGACCAGCCACACUGGAACUGAGACACGGUCCAGACUCCUACGGGAGGCAGCAGUGGGGAAUAUUGCACAAUGGGCGCAAGCCUGAUGCAGCCAUGCCGCGUGUAUGAAGAAGGCCUUCGGGUUGUAAAGUACUUUCAGCGGGGAGGAAGGCGAUGUGGUUAAUAACCUUGUCGAUUGACGUUACCCGCAGAGGAAGCACCGGCUAACUCCGUGCCAGCAGCCGCGGUAA